CCUACGGGUGGCUGCAGUGGGGAAUAUUGGACAAUGGGCGAAAGCCUGAUCCAGCCAUGCCGCGUGUGUGAAGAAGGCCUUCGGGUUGUAAAGCACUUUCAGUGGGGAAGAAAGCCUUGGGGCUAAUACCCUCGAGGAAGGACAUCACCCACAGAAGAAGCACCGGCUAACUCCGUGCCAGCAGCCGCGGUAAUACGGAGGGUGCGAGCGUUAAUCGGAAUUACUGGGCGUAAAGCGCGCGUAGGCGGUCUGAUAAGCCGGUUGUGAAAGCCCCGGGCUCAACCUGGGAACGGCAUCCGGAACGGGCAGGCUAGAGUGCAGGAGAGGAAGGUAGAUUUCCCGGUGUAGAGGUGAAAUGCGUAGAGAUCGGGAGGAAUACCAGUGGCGAAGGCGGCCUUCUGGACUGACACUGACGCUGAGGUGCGAAAGCGUGGGUAGCAAACAGGAUUAGAUACCCGAGUAUC
rnacentral:rRNA from 1 species